UACGUAGGGUCCGAGCGUUGUCCGGAAUUACUGGGCGUAAAGAGCUCGUAGGUGGUUUGUCGCGUUGUUCGUGAAAACUCACAGCUUAACUGUGGGCGUGCGGGCGAUACGGGCAGACUUGAGUACUGCAGGGGAGACUGGAAUUCCUGGUGUAGCGGUGGAAUGCGCAGAUAUCAGGAGGAACACCGGUGGCGAAGGCGGGUCUCUGGGCUGAUACUGACGCUGAUGCGCGAAAGCCAGGGGAGCGAACGGG
rnacentral:rRNA from 1 species